rnacentral:snoRNA from 1 species
AUGCAAAUUAAAACCACAGUGAUUGCUAAAGUAAUUGUGGUAAUAGAAAUGUAUUAGCCUCAGAAGCUACUGAGGUACAGCAUUAUUUAUAAUAACCAAG